rnacentral:rRNA from 1 species
AUUGAACGCUGGCGGCAUGCUUUACACAUGCAAGUCGAACGGUAACAGGCCGCAAGGUGCUGACGAGUGGCGAACGGGUGAGUAAUGCAUCGGAACGUGCCCAGUCGUGGGGGAUAACUACUCGAAAGAGUAGCUAAUACCGCAUACGAUCUAUGGAUGAAAGCGGGGGACCGUAAGGCCUCGCGCGAUUGGAGCGGCCGAUGUCAGAUUAGGUAGUUGGUGGGGUAAAGGCUCACCAAGCCAACGAUCUGUAGCUGGUCUGAGAGGACAACCAGCCACACUGGGACUGAGACACGGCCCAGACUCCUACGGGAGGCAGCAGUGGGGAAUGUUGGACAAUGGGCGCAAGCCUGAUCCAGCAAUGCCGCGUGCAGGAAGAAGGCCUUCGGGUUGUAAACUGCUUUUGUACGGAACGAAACGGCUCUGGUUAAUACCCGGGGCUAAUGACGGUACCGUAAGAAUAAGCACCGGCUAACUACGUG